CCAGCAGCUGCGGUAAUUCCGGCUCCAAUAGCAUAUAUUAAAGUUGUUGCAGUUAAAAAGCUCGUAGUUGGAUUUCUGGGAGGGCGCCAAUGUCAGCUGAUGCUUGUGCAGCGGUGCCCUUCCAUCCUCCUGUUAACGUUUCUGAUAUUCAUUUAUUGGUCUCGGGCUCAGAUAUUUUACCUUGAGAAAAUUAGAGUGUUUAAGGCAGGCACUAGCCGCUGAAUACAUUAGCAUGGAAUAAUGGAAUAGGACGCCUUGUCCAUUUGAUUGGUUAUUGGACUUGCGUAAUGAUUAAUAGGGACAGUUGGGUGCAUUAGUAUUUAAUUGUCAGAGGUGAAAUUCUUGGAUUUAUUAAAGACUAACUUAUGCGAAAGCAUUUGCCAAGGAUGUUUUCAUUAAUCAAGAACGAAAGU
rnacentral:rRNA from 1 species